CAGCCAGACUGGCAGCUGGCCUCCUAAUCCUCUGCAGUGAAGCUGGAACAAUCUCAGUGGGAAGAUGGAGGUAGUCGCGCAGUUGUGAAGAAAAUGAAAACUCCUCUUACAAAGGAGCUGAUGAGAGUCAGGGUCAUCAGCAGAUGGG